rnacentral:tRNA from 1 species
GGGUUGUUCCGCCGUAUGGACGGCAAGCGGUCUUGAACACCGUGGCAUCCGAAAGGUUGAGGGUUCGAUUCCUUAACAACCCGCCA